CCAAGUCCAUAACCUUACCCGUGCCAGCCGCCACCGCCGCCCUCGCACCCCAUCCCUAUCCCCCCAUCCUAGCGCUCAACCCACGGCCCUCACGCCGUCGCCACCGUAUCCACGCUCCACCCCACGGCCCUCACGCCGUCGCCACCGUAUCCAUGCUCCACCCCACGGUCCUGCUACUGUCGCCGCCGUCCUCGCGCUCCGCCCGAGAUCCAUCCGCCGUCCUUGCACUCUGCCCGAGAUCCCAUCGCUGUCCUCGCGCUCCGCCCGAGAUCCAGCCGCCGUCCUCGCAAUCCGACUGAGAUCCAGGCGAAAUCGGCCCUCACGUUCAGGGAUCCACCCCCAUCCCCGUCCUCCAGCCCCCAACCUCGUCCGCCAUCUUAUUUCUGCCGCCGGUAGAGAUCCAUCCGUGAGCUCUCCAUCCCGUUGCGCCCCUCCCGAAGCCAGCCGUCCGUUGCUGCAGAUCUCGUCACAAGACUCGUCUUUUCCAAUAGGAGCGGGUGUACAUGAUGGUGAGCUUGCAGGGCGGCGAGUACGCGAUACUACCUGGCAGCAAGGACGAGAGGUGGGCGAGCGGAGGGCGCCGAGGUGGACCCAAAGUCCAGUCAAUGUUUAAGGAGGCACAUUCCAAUUUUAUUCUCCAUCACUUUUGAAUUACAUCGUCAUCUACACAUAAUAUUUAUGAAUAACAGUGUCAUCUUUUGAUAUAAUUUUUUUAUGUGAGCACGGUGUUGUUUUCCUUUUGCAUGAAUAUGGCAUUAGCAUUCAAACCUUAGGCUCAACAUAUACUCUCAUCUUCCUCUACAUCCACAUACCUUCAACUACUUGAAGCUGCAUAUGGUUUCCAGCGGGGAGAAUUGCAAGUUCCGAUCACAUUCAAACCUUAGAGGCACCUUCUCAUAGUGCCUCACACCGCAUUGCUUGGACAUGUGAAUUCAAAUUGUAGAGUCCGCCACCUUGGUGCAGUGGCUAGAUAAUUUCAGGAUUCAGACAUUCAAUACUUAUAUGAGAUGUUCGUGUUCAUUCUGGUUGUUGGCAUAAUAUUUGUUCUUUUGACAAGUUCAUUCAUUAUACUAACCAAGUACAUAACUUGCAGACCUUUGGCCUUUACUUUAUGAUUUGAUUUCGGAAGCCGAUUUAUCUAUAUUGAACACAUUUUCUUUUUUUGCAGGAUGGUUGAUACAUGUCUACACAUUUUGUCAGAGCAAUUUGCAGUGAAAGAAGCAGCCUCAAACUGAUAAGGAUUAUUCUAGAAAAAAACUGAUAAGAAGGCAACAUUUAUUUCUAUUAAGUAAUGGUUAUUGUUGUAGAUGAAGGAUGACAAGACGGCAACUAAUGUACCAGGAGGUGCAGGAUGGUUGAUACAUGUCUACACAUUUUUUCAGAGCAAUUUGCAGUGAAAGAAGCAGCCUCAAACUGAUAAGGAUUAUUCUAGAAAAAAACUGAUAAGAAGGCAACAUUUAUUUCUAUUAAGUAAUGGUUAUUGUUGUAGAUGAAGGAUGACAAGAUGGCAACUAAUGUACCAGGAGGUGCAGGUACUACAACAUAAUACAUACAUUAAGUUUAUUGUUUCUCUCUUAGAAAUAUACCUAGAUCAUUUUGAGCCUUGACUAAAGCGCGACAUUUCUGCCUGAACCUAUAGCAUUACUAGAUAACAUUUUGUAUCUUGUUCAUAAAACUGAACUCCACAUACUGCAGUUUAUAAUAAAAAAUAUGAAAAUAACACAACAUGAUCUGAAGCGCACAUACAUUGCUUAUAGGAGUUAACAUACACAAAUCAGUUUGGUGUUAUCCCUUUGGUGGUCACAAUCUGAAGAUCACAUGGCAUAAACUGAACUUCACAUACUACAGUUUUUGGGGUCAGAAGUUGUACAUUUCCGUUCUACUUCAUCAGAUAACGUACAAACACAAUUAUUUUCAAACUUUGAAGAUUACAUCAGCUAACUUUGUAGUAGAACAAAUACAACUUCAGAUUGGCUGAUCCUACUACAGUUUGUUGCAUGUAAGAUGUUGAAUAAAAUUUGUAGAUUUGUCUGCCAUGGAAAAAUGCAUAUUCUAUAUAUAUGUAGAUAUGUCUGCAUGAUGAUUCCUUUUAUCAUUUUAUAAAUAUCUUACCUCAUGUAUGACAGAACUAUGUUAUGUGUGUUAUGGACAUAUGUCAUAAAUACUUAAUUCUUGUGCUUCUCUUGGCUGCCAAUUUCCCUACGAGCUUCAAAGCACUUGAGCUGACUCCACUUUCUACCAAAUUCUUGUGGGGUAUUUUCACGUAAUCAGCAACCUAGUAUGCAUGGAUGUGAUGGCUUGGAAGUGUUAUGGAGCAUUUGGCUGUCUACAGUAUUUUGGACCAGCAAUCUUAAUUGUAAUCAUGAACGUAUGUGUGUUCUGGACCAUUUGGUGCUCAAGUAUUAUGGAGUAGAAAUCUUGUGCUCAUGGAUGUGACUCAAGUGUUUUGGACCAUUUAGUGUUUGAACUAUUUUAGACCAGCAAAUAGGGGUCCUUUAAUGUGACUUUUGUUUUCUGGAUGGUUGCCAAGAUAGCCAAACUUUGCUUUGUGUAGAUUGACUCGUGUUUGAACGUGUGAACAAUAUAUAUGUGUGUAUUCUUAUUACCAUAUUAUCAAUGGUUGUGAAAUAUGUGUUCAUCUUGA